rnacentral:misc_RNA from 1 species
GACAAACACACAUGCGUAUAUAUUUUCUUUCUGACAAAAUUUUGUUUGGAUAAAAAGAAUUGUCCCUUUACAAACAAGCUUACAACAACAGGACAAAUGGAUAGUGAGGGAUGGCCUACAAUCCAUCCAUUGCCAAAUAUCAAAAAAAAUUUUAAAUGAGUCGCAGCAGCAGGCAUAGAUGAAGGUUGCGUCACCAAAUAAUAAAAAAGACCAUCAAAAUCUUUCUCGUCCACGUUUGGUCGGUCCAGCAACUGCAAUGGCGGAACUAUUCAAUGACCAAUGGGGGAAUACUUGGUCAAAUUUUUUUUCUUAAAUUUAUUAAAUAAUUGCUCAAAUUUAUUAAAAAAAUUAAAUUAUU